AAAAGUACCAUUUUGCCCCUAAACUUUUAAUUAAUUCCAAUUUUAUCCCUAGGCUCGUAAAUUAGAAUUCAUGCAAUUUACUCCUUAAUCCAAGUGUAUUCAAGAUUUCAAUAUAACGUUUACAGCACAUGUAUUUCAUAAAUUUCAAAAUUUUUCCAAGAAUUUUACUACUUUGCAAUUUAGUCCCUACACAUGCUUUCACUAAAAAUCACUUUGUAAAAGUGAUUGCUCUAUCAAUAACCUUUCAUUUC
rnacentral:lncRNA from 1 species